rnacentral:rRNA from 1 species
UACGAAGGGGGCUAGCGUUGUUCGGAAUUACUGGGCGUAAAGGGCGCGUAGGCGGCCAACUAAGUCAGACGUGAAAUCCCUCGGCUCAACCGGGGAACUGCGUCUGAUACUGGAUGGCUUGAAUUCGGGAGAGGGAUGCGGAAUUCCAGGUGUAGCGGUGAAAUGCGUAGAUAUCCGGAGGAACACCGGUGGCGAAGGCGGCUUCCUGGACCGACACUGACGCUGAGGCGCGAAAGCUAGGGGAGCAAACGGG